GAUGAACGCUGGCGGCGUGCCUAAUACAUGCAAGUCGAGCGAACGGACGAGAAGCUUGCUUUUCUGAUGUUAGCGGCGGACGGGUGAGUAACACGUGGAUAACCUACCUAUAAGACUGGGAUAACUUCGGGAAACCGGAGCUAAUACCGGAUAAUAUUUUGAACCGCAUGGUUCAAAAGUGAAAGACGGUCUUGCUGUCACUUAUAGAUGGAUCCGCGCUGCAUUAGCUAGUUGGUAAGGUAACGGCUUACCAAGGCAACGAUGCAUAGCCGACCUGAGAGGGUGAUCGGCCACACUGGAACUGAGACACGGUCCAGACUCCUACGGGAGGCAGCAGUAGGGAAUCUUCCGCAAUGGGCGAAAGCCUGACGGAGCAACGCCGUGUGAGUGAUGAAGGCCUUCGGAUCGUAAAACUCUGUUAUUAGGGAAGAACAUAUGUGUAAGUAACUGUGCACAUCUUGACGGUACCUAAUCAGAAAGCCACGGCUAACUACGUG
rnacentral:rRNA from 1 species